ensembl:lncRNA
CGCACAUUCCCACUUUCAUCUCAGUCCUAUGCCACUUAUUCCAUUCAUGUAGGAAAACAGCUGCUUACACUGUGAAUCACCAUCAAUAUACAGAGCGUGUGUGUGUGUGUGUGUGUGUGGUUGAGAGCGAGAGAGAGAAGUCUGUCCGUCUAGUGAAGGUGUCUGUUUCCUGCAUGGAAAGACAGCAGGAUGAGGGAGAAAGCAAAGACAGGAAGCAGAUCCGUUUGUUUUAUAGACGCUACACACGCACACACACACACACGCACACACACACACACACACACACAGAAACACAAAGACAGUUUGUCUACAUCAUUUCAGCCUUUGUGAGAAUGAGUACAUGUCGGAGAACAGUAUUGUUUAUUGAUUUUGAUUGGUCAGAAGGAGUUGAUUAAUUUUCUAAUAUGUUAUCGUUUCUAUAGUAACGGCUGUUGGUGUAACAUGCAUACACGUCUUUUUUUCCCCAACACUGUUGUCCAAAGUUUUAUGUGUUGCAAUACUGUGAUUGUGUGCGAUUGUGUGUGUGCAUGGGUGUGUGUGUGUGUGUGUAUGUGUGUGUUGUUGAUAGCUGCACUGGAUCACAUGCAUACCUUUUGUAUAUCUGAUGCAUUCAAAGCGAUGUCCACCAGAGGGCAAUGGAGAGCUCUUCAUGCUCCUUGGUUUCCAUGGCGACCUGUAAAAUGGUUGUGUGAAAAAGUCUUGACUCUUAUUGGUCAGAAAGUGUUGAUCUCUCUCGAGAUUUGAAAGUAUUCAUUUCCAUGUAUGUGCGUGAUACAGAGCCACGAUUAGUUUGUCUAGUCUGUUGAUAUCUGGUUUGCUUGGUAGCGAGUGUGCUUGGUAGUUAGUAUGUUUGGUAGCUAACGUGUUUGGUAGCUAGUUUGCUUGUUAGCUCAUUUGUUUGGUAGCUCAUUUGUUUGGUAGCUAGCUUGUUUGGUAGUUUGUUUGGUAGCUAGCUUGUUUGGUAGCUCAUUUGUUUGGUAGCCACUUUGCUUGGUAGUUAGCUUGCUUGGUAGCUACUUCGUUUGGUAGCCCCUUUGUUUGGUAGUUAGUUUGUUUGGUAGCCCCUUUGUUUGGUAGUUAGUUUGUUUGGUAGCUAGUUUGUUUGGUAGCCCCUUUGCUUGGUAGAUAGUUUGUUUGGUAGCCCCUUUGCUUGGUAGUUAGUUUGUU